AGAGUUAUAGUUAAAUAUAAUAUUUGGUUUGCAUCUAAAAGGUACUGAUCUCAGUUAACUUUA
rnacentral:tRNA from 1 species